AGGUAAGUGAAAGGGUUUAUAUUAGUGUCACUGAAUCAAGGGCCAAUCUCAAAAUUUACUUGGGGAUUUUUCAAAGUGCACAUUUAUGUGACAUACACUAUGAAAUUUCAUUUUAGUAUAGAUUUGUGGUGGGAUACUACCAUAUAUUUUGAAAACAAACAAAUAAGCAAACAAAAAAAUGUUCCCCAAACUCACAGAAUCCCCAGGUGCUU
rnacentral:lncRNA from 1 species